rnacentral:lncRNA from 1 species
UGAGCUUUCCUCCACAUCUGAGCUAUAUCCAGCAACCAAACCCAUAACACCUGAAAAGACUCAGCUACCUAAACUACUCCUAGCUACAUUCUUCUCUGUUCACAUUUGUGGAGAAGACCUAAUCUCAUUGGAGUAAAAGGACUAGCCAAACUGCAAGGCUGCAUGUGCUGGUACACAAGUGCUUAUGUUUUUGUCAAUUGAGAUGAUAAGUAGCCUUGCUGUAGCUCAUUUUCUUUUGGGGUAAGUUUGUAAAGGAAUCAGGUGUGGUAACUCAAGAAGUCACAGUGAAUUUACAAGCUCAGCAAAUAGUGGGAGUUAAAUGCAGAAAGCUUAGUAAAUCAGGUGCAGUCUCACUGAGUAUUGGUACAAGAUGCAGGCCUCUGUUGAGGAACCAGGCUCUUAUGUUAAAUUCAUGUACCCUCAGGACUGUAUUUAAGAAGGUAUACUUGGCUUAGAGCCCUCAGUGAGCACUGUCUGGAACAUGGGUUAAGUCCAGGUGCUGCUUGAACUCUGGCAUACUCAGUGCUGUGACCACUUAAAUAGGUCUGCAGCCUAUGACUCCUUGACAACAAAGUGAUUCAGACUAUGAAUUGUUCCAGGUUGUUUCUUUCAGUGCAAAAUGAGAAAUACUUGGAUGGCUCCAGUCUUUUUUAGGACCCAGAAAAUAAGAGCAUCCACUACAAGUUACAACAUAAAACCACCAAACCCUUGAAGAUUAUGUGAGAGUUAUAGCUUGAUGAGCCAUUAAAUCAGCUCACGUUCAUUUUGGAGGAUUUGGAAGAGACCAGAGUGUGGGCUGAGAGAAGUUUGAGAGUUUGAUUAAUUCUGUCUGAGCGGGACAGCCUUGAGAAGCCAUUUUGCAUGUGGUUGUGCAGCCCAGGUGCUAAACAAUGUCUGUGCUGCUUUGGUCCCACCAGGCCUGGUUGGACACCAAAUUGCUCUGAAGGAGAUGAGCACACAAGAAACUCUUCUGAACUUCUGGUAACUAUUACACUGAAAACAUCUCUAUGACUUGAUAUCUUGA